rnacentral:rRNA from 1 species
UACGUAGGCAGCGAGCGUUGUUCGGAGUUACUGGCGUAAAGAGUGCGUAGGCGGUUUCUAAGUUGGUGUGAAAUCUCCCGGCUUAACUGGAGGUGCGCCGAAGACUGGAAGGCUUGAGUAUGGGAGAGGUAAGCGGAAUUCCUGGUGUAGCGGUGAAAUGCGUAGAUAUCAGGAGGAACACCUGCGGUGUAGACGGCUUACUGGACCAUCACUGACGCUGAGGCACGAAAGCGUGGGUAGCAAACAGG